rnacentral:lncRNA from 1 species
GGUGUGGGUAUAAACAGCACUGUGGGGACUGAGAACCUUUGGAAAGUGGGAGAGAGUAAUUUGUGGGAAGGAAUCUCACGUUAGAACAACUGGUAUUUUGCAGGGCCUGAGAAUGAAACCAUGAGAGCUAGUCUUUUUUAAAAGUGUCAUUAAACAAUCUACCAUAGAAUGUCAUCUGGUAGUGUUACUGUGCAGGUCUUGUAGAGAGAGCUAGUCUUUGGUGUAUACUUUUAAAAAAAUAAUUUUUUUAUCUUGUGUAUACUUUUAAAAAGCUGUUUUCUGAGGUUUGGUCUUCUUACUGUGGAGCCUGGGUUGGUCUGGAGCUUGUUGUGAAGACUAGGCUAGCUUUGAAUUUUUAGCUAGUCAUCCUUUUUGCUCUGCCUGGUGUGCAAUCCUUAAUUGCUAGGCCUUUUUAGUAUGCUGUAUGUCAACAGAAAGCCCAUUUAAUUAAUGUUCACCUACUCUGUGUUAUUGGUUCAUUGAUGGAGAAAGGCUAAUUUUGUUAAGGUAGAACAGGUUAAUAAGUGAUAAAGUAGAUUAUUUGGGGUCUUUCUGGCUCUAAAAAUUGUUCUCCUGCCCACAGGGAGUCUAUUUCUAUUGAUUGUAUUUUUUUCCCCUCCUGGGCUUGGAUGGGUGGGAAAUUGCUAAAGCAAUUUCAGAAAAAUUUUCAGAAAAUAUUUAAAUUUUAUGUUUGGGUUUCUUUUAUCAGUGAAUCUGGGUUAAGUGUAUUCGAAGGUAUAUGCUUCGUGGCCAGUUUUAUGUACCCUUAGCUUACUGUGGUAGGAAGAGCAUAGCUAUGUGUAGGCCACAAUAUCCUGUGUAACCUUGGGCAAUCUGCUUAAGAUCUCUAAUACCAUCUUUGUAAAAGUGAUCUCCUUUAUAUGAGAACCAACUAGAUUGCUUACCUAUCCCUCUAAUGAUCCUGUGUAAAUGUUCUUGCUUCUGACAGCCACAGCUUUUUUUCCCUUUACUGUAGUAAAUUAUAGCUAUCACUCCAUAGGGUUAAUCUUGCCUACAUGUAUGGUUAUAUAUCAUUUGUGUGCAUUGCCUGUGGAGGCUAGAAGGCGGCUUUGGAUUUCAUGGAACUUGAGUAACAGAUGGUUGUUAGCUACUGUGUGGGUGCUGGAAAUCAAUAGAAGCCAGUGGUUUUAACCUUUGAGCUAUCUCUCUAGCCUCUGCUGUGUGUGUCUCCCCCGUUUAUUACUAAAUCUUGAGCUUAGUUCCUGUGAACAAGCUGGAGAAGUUGGUUCUGAGUUGCCCUGUUGAAACUAGUGCUAUUUGGAGAGCCUUAGUCUGAAGCCUUCAGGGAGUCAUCAUGGAGAUAGGUGCAAGGGUGCAUAGUAGGAAGGCAGGCACAUUCCAGAGAGAGGGAAGGUUUGUUAACUAAAACUUUACUCAUCUGAAAACUAUUUAAGCUUCAUUCUCCUAAAACAGUUGGUUGCUAACUCUGGUCCACACUGACUCUUAAAACGUAAAGAUGCUUUUAUUCCAGAAAUUAUCUUGAUGACAUUCUUGACUUUUAUGCUAGACUUAAACCCAUUGGGCUUAAAUCGUUUUAAAAGUAUUGCCAUUUUAGUUAGAUUUAUUGUCACUGAUGAGAAUUAUUGCUCUUGGCAUUUCAAUUUAAGAUACCGUGUUCUCAAUCUUAUUUUUUGUGUGUGUUGAAAGUCAGUGAGCUUUGGGAGAAGGAUUUGGGCAAAGUCAAGACAGUGGAGGCUUUUUGUCACACUUGAAGAUUAAACAGGGACAAACUAAAAAGAUAGCGUUUGUCGUCUUUCUUUUCUGGAGACAUUUCUCAUUGUAUAUACUUGCCUGGCCUGGAAUUUGUUGUGUAGAGCAAGAAAGUCUUUAAUUUCUGGACUUCAAAGAAGCUCCUGCCUCAACCAUCCCAGUUGCUGGCACUGUAGGUGUGAGCGUGUAUGUCUGUCUGUUCUUUCGUCUGUGUGUUUGCUUGCCUGCUGAGGAUCAAACCUGGGAGCUUUGAACUCUACCCUUGAGUGAUACCCCAGUCUUUGGAAAGGUACCUUCAAAAGAGAUUCCUCGGUAAGUUAGGACAAGGUUCCUUAGUGCUGAAGGUUGAAGCCCCCCCCCCCCUUUUUUUGAAAACCCUUUGUUUUCUUUGUGGUUUUGUUAUGGGUUGUGAUUUCAUCAUUUUAAAACAUAUGUAUAAAGACAUACACAAAUGUGCAUUUUGCCUUUCUGUAGUUUAGUACUUUCUAUAGAUAGUAUUUACUCACAGUAAAUACCAGGUGCUAUUUUGCCAACACAGGGACAUGUGACUAAAGAUGACUCAUCUCAAAGAAUGUCUGGCCUGGUAAAAUUAAUACCAUCUUGAAGCAUGUAAGCAUAAGGAAUCAGUCUGAGACACAGUUUUGUGUGUGUGUGUGUGUGUGUGUGUGUGUGUGUGUGUGGUAGAGAGUAAGUUUGAGUUUAUUUAUUUCCUUGCCAUUGAACUCUGGGCCUUGUUUAUGCUAGGCAAGCACUUUUUAGCACUGAGCUCCAAUUCUAGCCACAUCCUUAGCAAUGUUCCUUGCCAGCUUCUUGGGUCUAGAGAGUCUGGGCGUGGAGCCUGUAGAAAUAAAUAAAUAAAUGAAAUGGAGUCAUUGGAAUUUGGAUUUAGUGGUAUAAAGUUUCACAAGAAUUCUCACUAGAAUUCCUUAUUCAUCACAUACAAAGCGUUAAGCAGCUACCUUCUUUACCCCAGAAGGAAAGAUGUGACUUUAGGCAUCAUAAACCAGAUUUUCUUCUCUGUACAGGUUUCACAGUGAUUCUAUUGAAACAUUCUUUGGCUUACAUGUGGCAAAAUGAUUUUUAAAGAGAUAACUACAUCCAGGGGAACUAUGAUAAAUUACACACUUACUAGUGCCUUGGUUCUCUUCCUUUCUUGGUCUCAUUCUGCCUUCCCUUCUGAUGAUUUAGCAAAAGCAUGAGAACAGUAGCUUGAGAGUUUACAAGUUCAUGAAGUGUUGAGAUAGCAUACAAAAAAUUGUUUGCAUUAUUUUUUGUAAUGGCAGAGGACUGGCUAGAACCAACUUUUGAGGGUUUGUUGAUAUCUGUUCAUCUUUCACAGUUACCCACCCCCCCCCCUUUUUUUUUUCUCCUGGUAUGUGGAAUAUUGUAAUGCUUGCUGAAUAUUGCAGCCAGGUACAUCUUCUUAAAGUACUGGAACUGUUACUAGCUAUUCAAUAAUCAGUCUAAAAACAUACUUGGAACUCGAUGUAAGAUUUCACCACCAAAGUAAUCUCUUAAUCACUUAUAUUUGAUUGACGAUUUUGCCUUUACAUUUUCUCUGAAGGAACUUUUACAUCAUUAGCUUUCCUUCAGACCUGUUCCAGAGACCUACAGAAUUACAGCAGGGCACUUAAAAAUAGUAUUGAUUUUGAAUGAAAAGUUGGUAUUUUCUGUACAUUAAGGAUAGAUGUUAAAUUAAAUAACCAAAGAUAUUGGAGAUAGAUUAAUCUUCAGUAUUAGUAACACAGGAUUUUUUUGAACUUGUAAUAAGGUUUUGGUGGCUAUUGUACUGGAAAAAUUAAAAGGCUAUGUAAGUCUCAAAGCUAGGUGACUUACCCUAGUACUUAUUCGGUAAUCUGUUGGUAGCUAUUAAACAAUUGAAUUAUCCGAGUUUAAUUCUGGAGAAUUUUUUAAAAGCAAAAAGGUUCAGUGUCUUGUGAUUUCAUUCUAUAGAAACAAAUGCAGCCAAAUGAUGCAUUUUCUUCUAGUCUUUUUUUUUCCAUGUAUAAAUAUUUCACAGUUGACUCAGACUGCAUAUAUGGUACUGUAUCUUGCUUUUCUCACUUAACAUCAUGAACCUUUCUUUCCUGUGGCAUUAAAAACUGUCUUUGAAAAAUGACUGUCUUUGAUAAAUGGAAAGCAUUUGGGGCUGUUAGUAUAACUGAAAUGUUUUCUUGGUGUGACACAUGUACCUUUGUAAUUGGCUUGAUUUAGUGUGCUU